rnacentral:rRNA from 1 species
AAGCGGGAAAAGCUCAAAUUUAAAAUCUGGCGGUCUUUGGCCGUUCGAGUUGUAAUUUAGAGAAGCGUCUUCCGCGCUGGACCGUGCACAAGUCUCCUGGAACGGAGCGUCAUAGAGGGUGAGAAUCCCGUCUUUGGCACGGAACCCCGGUGCUUCUGUGAUGCGCUCUCGAAGAGUCGAGUUGUUUGGGAAUGCAGCUCAAAAUGGGUGGUGAACUCCAUCUAAAGCUAAAUAUUGGCGAGAGACCGAUAGCGAACAAGUACCGUGAGGGAAAGAUGAAAAGCACUUUGGAAAGAGAGUGAAACAGUACGUGAAAUUGUUGAAAGGGAAACGCUUGAAGUCAGUCGCGUCGAUCGAGACUCAGCCUUGCCUCGGCUUGGUGUACUUCUCGACAGACGGGCCAGCAUCAAUUUUGCCUCUCGGAUAAUGGCAAGGGAAAGGUGGCACCCUUACGGGUGUGUUAUAGUCUCCUGUCGCAUGCGAGGGGUGGGAUUGAGGAACUCAGCACGCACCUUUCAGGUGUCGGGGCUUCGGCCCACGUUACGUGCUUAGGAUGUUGGCGUAAUGGCUUUAAACGACCCGUCUUGAAACACGGACCAAGGAGUCUAACAUGCCCGCGAGUGUUCGGGUGGAAAACCCGUGCGCGAAAUGAAAGUGAAAGUUGGGACCUCUGUCGUGGAGGGCACCGACGCCCGGACCAGACCUUCUGUGACGGCUCUGCGGUAGAGCGUGCAUGUUGGGACCCGAAAGAUGGUGAACUAUGCCUGAAUAGGGUGAAGCCAGAGGAAACUCUGGUGGAGGCUCGUAGCGAUUCUGACGUGCAAAUCGAUCGUC